UUUAGUUUGACAUAAGUAUAAAUACAGUGCAGUUGGAGGAAUAUACAGUUAAAAAUACAACAAUUAUAAUUACAUAUAUCUUAUUUGGUUUGAUGUGGUGAAAAGCGUUGCAACUAUAAAUACUUUAUUUAGUUGCAUACGGUUGAAAAAUGUAUUUACGAAUUUUUAUCAUUUUACACAUAGGAUAGUGAGAUUAACCCCUAUGUAAGAAAUAAUUUUUUUUUUGUAAGAAAAUUAUUAGGGAGGUAAGUUUACCUUUAAAUUUAUUCUCUCCAAGUGCUGCAGUUGAAGCUCCACGUGCAGUUAUAACCAUAGUUAGUUAAUUCGGAUUCGGAAAAAAUUCGGUAUGGAUAUAAUACACAUAAAAUUCGUUUUUUAAUUUUUAAAUUCGUUGAAAAAUUCGGCUUAAAAAACGAAUUUGGUAUAAAAUAUAAAAUAUAAAAUAUAAAAUAUAAGACAAUUUAUAUUUAAAAAUAAAAUUUAUAAGUUUUUUUAUUCAUAUUUUCAAUAAUUCGGCAAUAAUUCGCGAAUAAUUUGGCUGGCCAAAAAAUUUGCGAGUAAUUCUCUUUCUUUGGAAAAAAUUUGUAAACGGACUGUUUAAUUCGAAUUUUCAAUAAUUCGCGAAUAAUUUGCAAAUUUACUAACUAGGGUUAUAACUAUAACUGUUAAAUUCUAUAAGUACAACACCAAAUUUGAAUCUACAUACAGCUAUAAUCAUAGUGUAAUUACAAGUACGUGCAACCAAACAGCGCCUUUGAGAGGAAAGUAUAAGUGCCUGCACUUUGCAGCCUACAAGAACAAAAAAAAAAAAAAAGAAGGAUUAAUUCAUACAGGUCCCUACAAAUAUAGUGAAUGUCAAAUAUAUUCAUACAAAGUUCAACUUUUAUACGUUGUCACUGCAAAAGUCCUAAUAUUUUUAAAUAUGUUCCUGCCGUUAGAAUCCGUUAGAAAAAUUCGAUUAACCAUAGGCUAAAUACUUAACCAUGAUUAGUUUUUACCAUUUUUACCCCUCUCAUAUUAUGCUAUUAUGGCUUUUGGAGGGACAUAUUUGUGAUGGUAAAAUUUUGAAAAUAUAAACAAUUCUCUAACGAUUCUCUAGCGGUAACAAAUAAGAGGGACAUAUUUGAAAAUAUCAGAACUUUUACAGGGACAAUAAAUGAAAGUUGAACUUUACAGAGAUAUAUUUGUUAUUCACUAUAUUUGCUGGGACCCGUAUGAAAGUUGGGACCCGUAUGAAAGUUGAACUUUAUAGAGAUAUACGGACAAAAAGG
rnacentral:lncRNA from 1 species